rnacentral:rRNA from 1 species
CAAAGAAGGUAAUAAUCCUGUAGUCGAAAAUGUUGUCUCUCUUGAGUGGAUCCUGAGUACGACGGAGCACGUGAAAUUCCGUCGGAAUCUGGGAGGACCAUCUCCUAAGGCUAAAUACUCUCUAGUGACCGAUAGUGAACCAGUACCGUGAGGGAAAGGUGAAAAGCACCCCGGAAGGGGAGUGAAAUAGAACCUGAAACCGUGUGCUUACAAGUAGUCAGAGCCCGUUAAUGGGUGAUGGCGUGCCUUUUGUAGAAUGAACCGGCGAGUUACGAUUUGAUGCAAGGUUAAGCAGUAAAUGUGGAGCCGUAGCGAAAGCGAGUCUGAAUAGGGCGUUUAGUAUUUGGUCGUAGACCCGAAACCAGGUGAUCUACCCUUGGUCAGGUUGAAGUUCAGGUAACACUGAAUGGAGGACCGAACCGACUUACGUUGAAAAGUGAGCGGAUGAACUGAGGGUAGCGGAGAAAUUCCAAUCGAACCUGGAGAUAGCUGGUUCUCUCCGAAAUAGCUUUAGGGCUAGCCUCAAGUGAUGAUUAUUGGAGGUAGAGCACUGUUUGGACGAGGGGCCCCUCUCGGGUUACCGAAUUCAGACAAACUCCGAAUGCCAAUUAAUUUAACUUGGGAGUCAGAACAUGGGUGAUAAGGUCCGUGUUCGAAAGGGAAACAGCCCAGACCACCAGCUAAGGUCCCAAAAUAUAUGUUAAGUGGAAAAGGAUGUGGCGUUGCCCAGACAACUAGGAUGUUGGCUUAGAAGCAGCCAUCAUUUAAAGAGUGCGUAAUAGCUCACUAGUCGAGUGACACUGCGCCGAAAAUGUACCGGGGCUAAACAUAUUACCGAAGCUGUGGAUUGUCCUUUGGACAAUGGUAGGAGAGCGUUCUAAGGGCGUUGAAGCAUGAUCGUAAGGACAUGUGGAGCGCUUAGAAGUGAGAAUGCCGGUGUGAGUAGCGAAAGACGGGUGAGAAUCCCGUCCACCGAUUGACUAAGGUUUCCAGAGGAAGGCUCGUCCGCUCUGGGUUAGUCGGGUCCUAAGCUGAGGCCGACAGGCGUAGGCGAUGGAUA